rnacentral:rRNA from 1 species
GAUGAACGCUGGCGGCGUGCCUAAUACAUGCAAGUCGAACGCUGGAAAUCUAGCUUGCUAGAUUGAAGGAGUGGCGAACGGGUGAGUAGUACAUAAGCAACCUACCCACGAAGACUGGGAUAAUCUCUGGAAACGGGGACUAAUACCGGAUAGGUAAUCGGAAGGCAUCUUCUGAUUAUUAAAGGUUAAAAAAACUGGUGGAUGGGCUUAUGGCGCAUUAGUUAGUUGGUGAGGUAACGGCCCACCAAGACGAUGAUGCGUAGCCGGCCUGAGAGGGUGAACGGCCACAUUGGGACUGAGACACGGCCCAGACUCCUACGGGAGGCAGCAGUAGGGAAUUUUCAGCAAUGGGGGAAACCCUGACCGAGCAACGCCGCGUGAGUGAUGACGGCCUUCGGGUUGUAAAGCUCUGUUGUAAGGGAAGAACGGUAGAUAGAGAAUAUCUAAAUGACGGUACCUUACCAGAAAGCCACGGCUAACUACGUG